UGCCAGCCGCCGCGGUAAUACGAAGGGUGCUAGCGUUGUUCGGAAUUACUGGGCGUAAAGAGCAUGUAGGCGGGCUGUUAAGUCGGGGGUGAAAUCCCGGGGCUCAACCCCGGAACUGCCUCCGAUACUGGCAGCCUAGAGAUCGAGAGAGGCGAGUGGAAUUGCGAGUGUAGAGGUGAAAUUCGUAGAUAUUCGGAGGAACACCAGUGGCGAAGGCGGCUCACUGGCUCGAUACUGACGCUGAGGUGCGAAGGUGUGGGGAGCAAACAGGAUUAGAUA
rnacentral:rRNA from 1 species